ACGCAAGGAGGGCGUGGGGAGAACACAGUCUAGACAAUUAUUGGCUGUGUCAUGUUCCAGCCCUCCUUCCACAUACAGAUUUGAUGGUUGCCAGCUUGCCUUGGGUUUCUUGGUGCUGCACUUAAAUGUCAGGAAACUGGACAAAUGCAGGCAGAAGAAGACUGCUAGCCUUGCUGGCUAUGUGUUGCCUCUGUUGUCAGAGGUGGCUUAUCUGUGUACACCACUUGCUGAAGAGGCAGAACUCUUGAGGGAUCCUGUGGGAAGCUGCCUUGCCACCAUGUGAACAGACUGCUGGAGUGGAUAGACCACAGUUAUGAUCAGCAUGGCCUUUCUUAUGUUUAUAGGAAGCCUGCUUCUCUACUUUAUAUAAUGCUGUAAGAUACUUUCCCCCUAUUUAUGGCUUAAUGUAUGUUGUGAAGCAAAUAUGAUGUACAAAUCACAAUACUAUUAUUGUUUUGACUACAAAGUUCCAAA